rnacentral:rRNA from 1 species
CCUACGGGUGGCAGCAGUGAGGAAUAUUGGUCAAUGGCCGCAGGCCUGAACCAGCCAAGUAGCGUGAGGGAUGACUGCCCUACGGGUUGUAAACUUCUUUUAUCAAGGAGUAAAGUGAGCCACGUGUGCCUUUUUGUGUGUACUUUAUGAAUAAGGAUCGGCUAACUCCGUGCCAGCAGCCGCGGUAAUACGGAGGAUGCGAGCGUUAUCCGGAUUUAUUGGGUUUAAAGGGAGCGUAGAUGGGUUGUUAAGUCAGUCGUGAAAGUUUGGGGCUCAACCGUAAAAUUGCCAUUGAUACUGGCGGUCUUGAGUACAGUUGAGGUAUGCGGAAUGCGUGGUGUAGCGGUGAAAUGCUUAGAUAUCACGAAGAACUCCGAUUGCGAAGGCAGCAUACCAA